AAGGAUUGUUAAAUAUUGGAUGAGCUGAUUGACAUUUCACAUUCACAGACCCACACGUUUGGGGAUAAUGGCACCAGAUCGAAUGAUCCUAAAUGUACAGUAAAUGUCUGCUUUAUUCCUGGGUCGAUACUGUCUAACAUCUGGUCCACAGACGUCAGCAGAUCAGUCUGUAACCGUUUCCUCACCAACACCUGGACUUGGCUCACUGACACCAUGUUCAGCAACGAUAAAGGAUGGAGAGCAUUAAAGCUGAGCCUCAUUCAGGUCCAGAGAAUGUUACGACCUGCCUGGUAGCACAACCAAACUCACACGUCAACAACACGAAAAGCCUUGGACACGGUCCUUGUCGUGGCAACAGCUGGCAACUAGAAAGCCCACACACCACAACAACAACAGUUAAACAACACGCUCCUGCUGAUGGUCCUGCUCACACAGGUCGUCCCAUGAUGCCUUGCAGCCAACCAGGGGCUGUGGGAAUCCCAUCAGCAGUCGGUCUGACACCUACAGUACACCUGAACCUACUGAUGCUCUUCCAGAGGAUGCAUCGGCUCAGACCAUCCAGCUUCAGAGAAGUGUGGCGUGUUGUUCUACCCUUCAGCCUGAGAAGAUUCUACAGUGUCAUCGGUGGGUCACACUGCAGGUGAAUGGGGAGGGAGCUCUGCCCAGGGACCCAUCACAUCGAUGAUGCUGCAUGAAACAACUAUGAGCCAACUCAGCGCCCGUCAGUGACCAAGCAUCACUAACAUUUGUAACACUUACAAACACUAAUAACAGCCAGUGUGACAAGGCCGUUACUGCUCAGACUGAUAGCUAACAAUUACAGUACAUGUACAUGUGAUGUAGGUUGGGAGGAAGCCAUUACCAUGACAACAGAAGACAAAUGGUGGCCAUCAUUUAAGCAGCUAAAGCCUAAAACUCAAAAAAAAAAAAAAUGAGAGCAAGUCCUAAUGAGCUUUGUUAUAACAGAGAAAACAGCCUCGCUAAACUGUCCGACAACCUGACACUUUAACAAUGCCAUAAA